rfam:Postia placenta Mad-698-R POSPLscaffold_535_Cont9068, whole genome shotgun sequence.
GCCCGUUUAGCUCAGUGGUAGAGCGCGCCACUUGUAUGGUCAUGGUGAGGUCGGUUGUUCAAUCCAGCCAAUGGGCA